AAAAAAAAGACACACCGAAUGAGGGACGCGUUUUGCAGAAGUAGCGUUCCUAAUUGAGUCACCGAGGCAACCCCAGUCUUGCGGUUUGGACACAGGCGUGGUGUAGUUAAAUUUGAAAACCUCAAGCCGCUUAAAUCUCUGCAGAAUUCAUUUCCGUGGAAUGUCUCUUCCCCCGGUGGCAUAGCAGGGAGCAUGAAAAGCCGAGCUGCUGUUCUGAGCGCCUUCGCUGAGGAGACGUGGGAAGCGCUCAGGAACGGAAGGCUUGGUGAAUCAUACAUGAUGCGUACAGUGAAGAUGCAAUACGGGGGGGAAGUGAGGGGACGAUAGCUUUCACGUCACGCAAACAAACGUGCACUGAAAGCAGGUGUGCACAAAUCUCCUUCCAAAUUGUGUGGUUCACAGGUUCCCCAUCUCCAAUUUGCUAAAAGGAGUAGACACAUCAAUGUGAGACCACGACAAGCCGCCAUCGAGAAAUAUGCUAAACUGUCACAAAUUCAGAGUGCACUUUUUCUCUAAAAUAUACUGUUUAAUAAACACAACAUUAUUAACG
ensembl:lncRNA